rnacentral:rRNA from 1 species
CACGUAGGGCGCAAGCGUUGUCCGGAAUUAUUGGGCGUAAAGAGCUCGUAGGCGGUCUGUCACGUCGGCUGUGAAAACCCGGAGCUCAACUCCGGGCCUGCAGUCGAUACGGGCAGACUGGAGUUCGGCAGGGGAGACUGGAAUUCCUGGUGUAGCGGUGAAAUGCGCAGAUAUCAGGAGGAACACCGGUGGCGAAGGCGGGUCUCUGGGCCGAUACUGACGCUGAGGAGCGAAAGCGUGGGGAGCGAACAGG